CGAUUAAUCGUGGUUAAUCAAUUUGACAGAAAAUACUUAUAUACUAUUUUUUUGAAAGAACACAUUAACACAGUCUCACCAACCCCAAACUUUUGAACAUAGUGAAUUUAUAAAGCAUAUUAGUUUUUGCUGUUGCAAUGAAAUUGAUAUUCUACUCAUAUUGGUACAGACUACAGAUUUAUUUAUUAUUCUUUUUUUUUUUUAGAAUCAGAGCAACUCUGGUAGUGAGUAUGUUUAAGUAUAUUUGUAUGUAUGUGAACUAACCCACCCUACCUCUUUUAAAGGCCUGGCAAUGAAACCAUCUCUGAACACAAAGAGAUGUCUACCACAGACAACUGUGUAGUCUCUUCAAGUCAUUCAUAUAGAAAGCCUCUUUAGUGCAGUGUGGCCUCUUUAUCCUACCAAUUAUUAUUUGCUUUAUUUUAAAUAUUUCAGAUGUUUUUUUUCAUGGUUUCUCCAAAAUCAUGUGUAGAAGGAUGAAACUUUAUGUGGGAGAGGAAUACUGUGUGUGCAUCUAUUUGAGUGUAAGUGUUGAAAUCAUGAGAUUUUCAUCAUACUAAGACACUGGCUUCAUGAUUUAAACCUCUCUGUUUCCAGGGAGAUUCUGGAACGUUGCCCUUCUUCUAUAUGUGUGUUCUCACACUUACAUGAACUAAUAUCUCUCUUUCCCCACCGGAACCCUGCAGAAACUAGAGGAGGAGAAGGAGAGAGAACGGCAGCAGAUUGAGAAAGAGCGGAGAGAAAGAGACAAAGAGAGAGAACGAGAGAAAGAGCGACGUGAUCGGGAGAGAGAGAAGGAGCGGGAGAGAGAGAGACAGAAGGAGAGAGAAAAGGAGCGAGAAAAGGAGCGAGAACGAGAACGAACGCGGGAGAAAGAGAGAAGUCGUGAUCGCAGUAAAGACAGAAGCAGAUCAAGGGAGAAGAGUCGAGAAGAGAAGAAAAGAGAGCGCGAGGAAGAUGAGGAGGAGGCGUAUGAACGACGGAAACUGGAGAGGAAGCUACGUGAAAAAGAAGCAGCCUAUCAGGAGCGCCUGAAGAACUGGGAGAUAGGAGAGAGGAAAAAAGCAAGGGAUUACAGUAAAGAAACAGAGAGAGAAGAGGAAAGACACAGAGAGAUGGUAAGAAUAAAUGUAUAAAAACUAUUAGCUAUCAGAGUCUAUUUAUACAUGAUGAUAG
rnacentral:lncRNA from 1 species